GUGCAUCGGGUCCUACUUCUU
rnacentral:siRNA from 1 species